AUUGAACGCUGGCGGCAUGCUUUACACAUGCAAGUCGAACGGCAGCGCGGGCUUCGGCCUGGCGGCGAGUGGCGAACGGGUGAGUAAUGCAUCGGAACGUGCCCAGUAGUGGGGGAUAGCCCGGCGAAAGCCGGAUUAAUACCGCAUACGACCUGAGGGUGAAAGCGGGGGACCGAAAGGCCUCGCGCUAUUGGAGCGGCCGAUGUCGGAUUAGCUAGUUGGUGGGGUAAAGGCUUACCAAGGCGACGAUCCGUAGCUGGUCUGAGAGGAUGACCAGCCACACUGGGACUGAGACACGGCCCAGACUCCUACGGGAGGCAGCAGUGGGGAAUUUUGGACAAUGGGGGCAACCCUGAUCCAGCCAUGCCGCGUGCGGGAAGAAGGCCUUCGGGUUGUAAACCGCUUUUGUUCGGGAAGAAAUCCUCUGGGCUAAUACCCCGGGGGGAUGACGGUACCGGAAGAAUAAGCACCGGGUAACUACGUG
rnacentral:rRNA from 1 species